GGCUCAGAUGAAACGCUGGCGGCAUGCCUUACACAUGCAAGUCGAACGCGAAAGUGGGGGCAACCCUGCGAGUAGAGUGGCGAACGGGUGAGUAAUACAUCGGAACGUACCCAGGAGUGGGGGACAACCUCGAGAAAUCGAGGCUAAUACCGCAUACGUCCUGAGGGAGAAAGCGGGGGAUCCGUAAGGACCUCGCGCUCAUGGAGCGGCCGAUGUCGGAUUAGCUAGUUGGCGGGGUAAAGGCCCACCAAGGCGACGAUCCGUAGCUGGUUUGAGAGAACGACCAGCCACACUGGGACUGAGACACGGCCCAGACUCCUACGGGAGGCAGCAGUGGGGAAUUUUGGACAAUGGGGGCAACCCUGAUCCAGCCAUGCCGCGUGAGUGAAGAAGGCCUUCGGGUUGUAAAGCUCUUUCGGCCGGAACGAAAUCGGGUACGUGAAUAACGUGCCUGGAUGACGGUACUGGAAGAAGAAGCACCGGCUAACUACGUGCCAGCAGCCGCGGUAAUACGUAGGGUGCGAGCGUUAAUCGGAAUUACUGGGCGUAAAGCGUGCGUAGGCGGUUUCGCGAGUCAGAUGUGAAAUCCCCGGGCUUAACCUGGGAACUGCGUUUGAAACUACGGAGCUAGAGUGUGGCAGAGGGGGGUGGAAUUCCACGUGUAGCAGUGAAAUGCGUAGAUAUGUGGAGGAACACCGAUGGCGAAGGCAGCCCCCUGGGCCGACACUGACGCUCAGGCACGAAAGCGUGGGGAGCAAACAGGAUUAGAUACCCUGGUAGUCCACGCCCUAAACUAUGUCAACUAGUUGUCGGGGAAGCAAUUCCUUGGUAACGAAGCUAACGCGUGAAGUUGACCGCCUGGGGAGUACGGUCGCAA
rnacentral:rRNA from 1 species